rnacentral:rRNA from 1 species
AUUGCCUCAGUAGCGGCGAGUGAAGCGGCAAAAGCUCGAAUUUGAAAUCUGGCGUCUUUUGACGUCCGAGUUGUAAUUUGAAGGUUCGAUAAUUUCAGCAUUUGGGAACGAUUAAGUCGCUUGGAACAGCGUACCGUAGAGGGUGAGAGUCCCGUGAAUUGUUUUUGAUUGCUUGUCUUUCGUUCCAAAGAGUCGAGUUGUUUGGGAAUGCAGCUCCAAGUGGGUGGUAUAUUCCAUCUAAGGCUAAAUAUUGGCGAGAGACCGAUAGCAAACAAGUACUGUGAAGGAAAGAUGAAAAGCACUUUGAAAAGAGAGUGAAAAAGGACGUGAAAUUGUUGAAAGGGAAGGGUAUUUGAUCCGACGUGGGUGGACACUGUGGGCUGCUCUCGUGGCGGCUCCUCCAGAGUGCUCCCGGGCCAGCAUCAGUUGUGGCAGCGUGAGACGAGUAAUUGGAAUGUGAGCCCUCUGGGAAGUUAUAGCCUUUUACCUGUUGACGCUCGGCGCGACUGAGGACCGCGAAAUUUUAUUUCUA